UCGCUAGCAAGGAGAGCGAUUAGGGAGCUAAUGGCCAAAGGUGUGAUCAGGAUGGUCGCUGCUCACUCGAGCCAGCAGAUCUACACUCGUGCCACCAACACCUAAGAUGUUUGGUUUCUUUAUCCACCUAAGAUGUUUGGCUUCUUUUUCUUAUCUCUUGUUGUUUGAUUCUUCAGGAACUUGUUAGAAUCUUUUGUUUCGUAUUCCGUUUUUUUGAGAUAUAUGGU
rnacentral:lncRNA from 1 species